rnacentral:rRNA from 1 species
AACGAACGCUGGCGGCAGGCUUAACACAUGCAAGUCGAACGGGCCCUUCGGGGUCAGUGGCAGACGGGUGAGUAACACGUGGGAACGUGCCCUUCAGUUCGGAAUAACCCAGGGAAACUUGGGCUAAGACCGGAUACGCCCCUUGGGGGAAAGAUUUAUCGCUGAAGGAUCGGCCCGCGUCUGAUUAGCUAGUUGGUGAGGUAAAGGCUCACCAAGGCGACGAUCAGCAGCUGGUCUGGGAGGAUGAUCAGCCACACUGGGACUGAGACACGGCCCAGACUCCUACGGGAGGCAGCAGUGGGGAAUAUUGGACAAUGGGCGCAAGCCUGAUCCAGCCAUGCCGCGUGAGUGAUGAAGGCCUUGGGGUUGUAAAGCUCUUUCGUCCGGGACGAUAAUGACGGUACCGGAAGAAGAAGCCCCGGCUAACUUCGUGCCAGCCGCCGCGGUAAUAC